rnacentral:lncRNA from 1 species
GAACACGAAAAAAAGGCUCUAGGAAAUUGAAGAGGAGAAAGCCUGAAUUAAGGUCAAAUCCAAAAGACAGAAAUGUGAGGAAAGAAAGAUUUCUAGCCUUGCCAAGAAAAGAGUGAGAUUUCUAGAGAAAUUAGUCCAAGAUUCGCCUGUUAGAAAGGAUCAACCCUAUUCAAGUUUCCUGGUUGGUAAUUUCCAGUUCCUCUUGCAGCAUCUCACCAGACCAAUAAGAUGUGUUUUGGUCGCCAUUGCAAUAGUAAUCCUCAUGCUCCAUCAAAAAAGGACAUCCCUAUUGCUAAUAUUUUUGAAAGAUUACAAAAGGAUCUUCAUUUCUCUCCAGAUAUUCAACAAAGUCUGGAAGCCUCCUGAAUUCUUGUGCAACACGUCCGGACUCUCCAACUUCCGAACAAAAGCAAGCCUCAUCUUCUCCUCCUCUGCCACCUUCCCCCCAAUGUUCACCUUGAUCGCCC